GUCCCACGGGCAACUGCCCCGGGCCCCUCUGACCGCCCGGGACAGCCCCGCGCUCCUCCCACGGUCACCGGAGCAGCUGCCCCCGGCCCCUGACGGCGUUCGGCCUCCCCCCGGCAGCUCCUGAGGUUUUUCCUGCAUCUGGGAAUUAGGACUCUGGGUGGUUAAGGGAAGGAAUCAGCAUGUGGGGAUCUGGUUCCUGCUGUUCCCAGGAAAGGUGAUGCAUUUGCAAGGACACGCGUGGUGCCAGGCUGGCAGUGUCACCGACCCCUCACCCGGGCUGAUCUGGGCUGUGUUUGCACUGGGGGUGUCACCAGAGCCUGGUCAGGAGAGGUGGAACCAGCACUUGGUGUCACGGGAGGUAAAAACAUUUCCCCUGUGUGUUUUGGAGUUUGUUAACUUAGGCUAAACUUCCUUUUUUUUUUGAGAGAGCAGGGUGGCAUGAGUUCCCAGUGCACAUGCUUGGAAGUCAUGGAAUGAGAGUAAAUAACUGUGGCCAGCUUUGGAGCAGGACAGGGAAAGGGUGUCAGGUGCAUUUACCACCCCUCCUCCAAAGCACAACACGGUUAGGAUUCAAACAUUUAAAAGAAACCCAUUGCAAAGUGUGUCUGAACCCCGUGAAACAAUUAAAACAUGGAUUAUUCCUGCCCAGACUUGAAUCCCAGGAUUGUUAUGUUGGAAAAGACCUGGAUUGUUAUGUGGAAAAGACCACAUCCAGGCAUGGGGAGCACAGCCCUGUCACCAGUUGAAUUUCAUGGAAUCUCCUGAGCUGGAAGGGCCCCACAAGGAUCAGCCUCACUGUCCCCCACCUGAUCAUUCCACGUGCCUUCCCCUCCAGACCCUCCACCAUCUUCAUAGCCCAAAAAAAUAACAAUCUUCUUAUUUUAUUUCCUUCCAAAUCCAAAUCCACGCUGGGUUUUUAAGGUUAAUGUCUUUAACUCUCUCUUUUCCACAUGUUCAUGCCUCUGUGUGCCCUUGACUGGAGGAGUUGCUGCAGGAUUUCAGAGUGUGAAGCAAUCCCUCCCCAGCAGUGUUUGGACAGCGUUUGGAGCUGGCUGGAUGUGCUGGGCUGGGCAGGCAGAGUGCAGGUGCAGGUUUUAGCAGGCCUGGAGCUCUGGGAGCAGCAGCCAGGAUGAACUCAGAGCCUGUUGUAAUCUCUGGUGUGGUAAGUUCUGUAUGUAGUUAUUAUCAGUGAUUUGGGACCAGCCCCUCAGCAAGCCAAGCACUCCCCCUCACUCCUGCAGCACUUGGGAUUUAGCACUGGAGAGGAUUAACCAACACCAAACCCUUCUCUUCAGCUCCUCCAUGAAAUACUCACUCAGAGGAGGAUUCUUUGUGUGGAAGACACAUCUAUAGCUAUGCAUUUAUGUCUACAGAAAUAUAAAUAAAAGUGUCCAUGCCCAAAUUUUCCAGAUUUAGUCCAAUGGAUGUGAGAAUAUGCUCUGUUCCCCCAAUAAUUUUAUUAACU